AAAUAAGAAGCUUAAAGCAUUUAAUUUCGACUUAAAAAUUGAGUAUAAAACUACUCCUUAUUUU
rnacentral:tRNA from 1 species